UUGUCUCAAAGAUUAAGCCAUGCAUGUCUCAGUACAAGCCAAAUUAAGGUGAAACCGCGAAAGGCUCAUUAAAUCAGUUAUGGUUCCUUAGAUCGUACUACUUCUACUUGGAUAACUGUGGUAAUUCUAGAGCUAAUACAUGCUAACAGAGCUCCUUUCGGAAACGGAGGGAUGCGCUUUUAUUAGAUCAAAACCAAUCGGUGGCGGUGUUUCGGCACUGACAUCGUAGAACUUGGUGACUCUGAAUAACUCCUAGGCUGAUCGCACGGUCUCGCACCGGCGACGCAUCUUUCAAAUGUCUGCCUUAUCAACUGUCGAUGGUAGGUUCUGCGCCUACCAUGGUCGUAACGGGUAACGGGGAAUCAGGGUUCGAUUCCGGAGAGGGAGCCUGAGAAACGGCUACCACAUCCAAGGAAGGCAGCAGGCGCGCAAAUUACCCACUCCCGGCACGGGGAGGUAGUGACGAAAAAUAACGAUACGGGACUCAUCCGAGGCCCCGUAAUCGGAAUGAGUACACUCUAAACCCUUUAACGAGGAUCAAUUGGAGGGCAAGUCUGGUGCCAGCAGCCGCGGUAAUUCCAGCUCCAAUAGCGUAUAUUAAAGUUGUUGCGGUUAAAAAGCUCGUAGUCGAAUCUGUGUCCCGCGCCGCCGGUUCAUCGUUCGCGGUGUUAACUGGCGUGCCGCGAGACGUCCUGCCGGUGGGCGGCCCGCAAGGGCUCGCCCAAACAUAUCCCGCUGCGGUGCUCUUCAUUGAGUGUCGAGGUGGGCCGGCACGUUUACUUUGAACAAAUUAGAGUGCUUAAAGCAGGCUAAAAUUUCGCCUGAAUACUAGUGCAUGGAAUAAUGGAAUAGGACCUCGGUUCUAUUUUGUUGGUUUUCGGAACCCCGAGGUAAUGAUUAAUAGGAACGGAUGGGGGCAUUCGUAUUGCGACGUUAGAGGUGAAAUUCUUGGACCGUCGCAAGACGGACAGAAGCGAAAGCAUUUGCCAAAAACGCUUUCAUUGAUCAAGAACGAAAGUUAGAGGUUCGAAGGCGAUCAGAUACCGCCCUAGUUCUAACCAUAAACGAUGCCAGCUAGCGAUCCGCCGACGUUCCUUCGAUGACUCGGCGGGCAGCUUCCGGGAAACCAAAGCUUUUGGGUUCCGGGGGAAGUAUGGUUGCAAAGCUGAAACUUAAAGGAAUUGACGGAAGGGCACCACCAGGAGUGGAGCCUGCGGCUUAAUUUGACUCAACACGGGAAACCUCACCAGGCCCGGACACCGGAAGGAUUGACAGAUUGAGAGCUCUUUCUUGAUUCGGUGGGUGGUGGUGCAUGGCCGUUCUUAGUUGGUGGAGCGAUUUGUCUGGUUAAUUCCGAUAACGAACGAGACUCUAGCCUGCUAAAUAGGCGUAUUUCGACAUCCCAAAGGCCCGCCGGUCUAACCGUGUUACCCGUCAAAAGGUGCACGGCGAUCGUGCGCGGUUUUUACUGUCGGCGUACAAACAUAUCUUCUUAGAGGGACAGGCGGCUUCUAGCCGCACGAGAUUGAGCAAUAACAGGUCUGUGAUGCCCUUAGAUGUUCUGGGCCGCACGCGCGCUACACUGAAGGAAUCAGCGUGUUUUUUCCCUGGCCGAGCGGUCCGGGUAACCCGCUGAACCUCCUUCGUGCUAGGGAUUGGGGCUUGCAAUUGUUCCCCAUGAACGAGGAAUUCCCAGUAAGCGCGAGUCAUAAGCUCGCGUUGAUUACGUCCCUGCCCUUUGUACACACCGCCCGUCGCUACUACCGAUUGAAUGAUUUAGUGAGGUCUUCGGAUCGUUUCGCGGUGGCGUUUCGGCGUCGCCGAUGUUAGCGAGAAGAUGACCAAACUUGAUCAUUU
rnacentral:rRNA from 1 species